AUUGAACGCUGGCGGCAUGCCUUACACAUGCAAGUCGAACGGCAGCGGACCUUCGGGUGCCGGCGAGUGGCGAACGGGUGAGUAAUAUAUCGGAACGUACCUUUCAGUGGGGGAGUAACGUAGCGAAAGUUACGCUAAUACCGCAUAUUCUGUGAGCAGGAAAGCAGGGGAGUCGCAAGACCUUGCGCUGAUUGAGCGGCCGAUAUCAGAUUAGCUAGUUGGUGAGGUAAAGGCUCACCAAGGCGACGAUCUGUAGCGGGUCUGAGAGGAUGAUCCGCCACACUGGAACUGAGACACGGUCCAGACUCCUACGGGAGGCAGCAGUGGGGAAUUUUGGUACAAAUGGGCGGCAAGACCUCGAUCCACGCCACUGCCGCCGUGAGUGAAG
rnacentral:rRNA from 1 species